rfam:Phytophthora infestans T30-4 supercont1.29 genomic scaffold, whole genome shotgun sequence.
CCGCUUUUAGAUCAGUGGUCGAGCAAUGGCUUUGGAAGCCACAGGUCGGUGGUUCGAACCCGCCAGGGCACA